AUGAACGCUGGCGGCGUGGCUAAGGCAUGCAAGUCGAGCGGGUUGAAUUUUGUAGCAAUACAGAAUUCGGUCAGCGGCAGACGGGUGCGUAACACAUUGGCAAUCUUCCCUCGAAUCGUGAAUAGCCCAGCGAAAGUUGGGGUAAUACACGAUGGUCAUGUAAGGUCUCAAGGCCUAACAUGUAAAGCAGAAAUGCGUUCGAGGAGGGGCCUAUGGCCUAUCAGCUAGUUGGUGAGGUAAAAGCUCACCAAGGCUAUGACGGGUAGGGGGCGUGAGAGCGUGGCCCCCCUCACUGGGACUGAGACACUGCCCAGACACCUACGGGUGGCUGCAGUCAAGAAUAUUCCUCAAUGCACGAAAGUGUGAAGGAGCGACGCCGCGUGCCGGAUGAAGGCCUUUGGGUCGUAAACGGCUUUUAUAGGGGACGAACAAAUGACGGUACCCUACGAAUAAGUGGUUGCUAACUCUGU
rnacentral:rRNA from 1 species